UGUCGUGAGAUGUUGGUUAAGUCCGCAACGAGCGCAACCCCUAUUGUUAGUUGCCAUCAUUCAGUUGGGCACUCUAGCGAGACUGCCGGUAAUAAACCGGAGGAAGGUGGGGAUGACGUCAAAUCAUCAUGCCCCUUAUGACCUGGGCUACACACGUGCUACAAUGGUUGGUACAACGAGUUGCGAGUCGGUGACGGCGAGCUAAUCUCUUAAAGCCAAUCUCAGUUCGGAUUGUAGGCUGCAACUCGCCUACAUGAAGUCGGAAUCGCUAGUAAUCGCGGAUCAGCACGCCGCGGUGAAUACGUUCCCGGGCCUU
rnacentral:rRNA from 1 species